GCUGCCACCACCCAAAAAAUUUAGAGUGUUUUGGGGCACUCUGGUCCCCCCAAAAACCUUCCCUGGGGACCCCAAGACCCAAAUUCCUUGAGUCUCACAACAAAGGGGAAUAAACCAUUUCCCUUCCCCCCUCCAGGUGUUCCCUCCCUGGGUUCCUGGAGAGAUACACAGAAGCAAGCUCCGUGAAUCUAAACAGAGGGACUCCACCCUCUCCUAUUUCCAGUCCUGGAAACACAAGCACUUCCCUCUUCACCCAGAGGGUAUGCAAAGUCAGGCUAGUAAAUCUAACACACACAGAUUUCCCCCUGACUUCUUCCUCCCACCAAGUCCCUGGUGAGCUACAGACUCAAUUCCCUGGAGUUCCCCACUAAAGAAAAACUCCAACAGGUCUUAAAAAGAAAGCUUUAUGUAAAAAGAAAGAAAAAUACAUAAAAAUGGUCUCUCUGUAUUAAGGUGACAAAUACAGGGUCAAUUGCUUAAAAGAAUAUUGAAUAAACAGCCUUAUUCAAAAAGAAUACAAUCCAAAGCACUCCAGCAACUAUAUUCAUGUAAAUACAAAAGAAACAUAUAAAUUCUAUCUGAUCUUUUCGUACUUACAACUGGAAACAGAAGAUUAGAAAACAGAAAUCACUUCUCAAAGCUGAGAGAAAAGCAGGCAGACAGAC